GCUGGGCACAGUGGCUCACGCCUGUAAUCCCAGCAGCUUGGGAGGCUGAGAUAGGAGAAUUUCGAGUUCAAAGGCAGCCUCAGCAAUGGCAAGGUACUAAUGCAACUCCGAGAGACCCUGUCUCUA
rnacentral:sRNA from 1 species